rnacentral:rRNA from 1 species
GACGAACGCUGGCGGCGUGCCUAAUACAUGCAAGUCGAACGCAGUGGGGACGGGUGAGUAACACGUGGGUAACCUCCCAUCAGAGGGGAUAACACUUGGAAACAGGUGCUAAACCGAUACUGAUGGAUGGACCCGCGGUGCCUUAGCUAGUUGGUGGGGUAACGGCUCACCAAGGCCACGAUGCAUAGCCGACCUGGGAGGGUGACAGGCAACACUGGGACUGAGACACGGCCCGGACGCCGACGGGAGGCAGCAGUAGGGAAUGUUGGGAAAUGGACGAAAGGCUGACGGAGAAACGCCGCGUGAGUGAAGAAGGGGUUCGGAUCGUAAAACACGGUUGUUAGGGAAGCGGUAUCUAACAAGAAAGCCACGGCUAACUACGUGCCAGCAGCCGCGGUAAUUC